rnacentral:rRNA from 1 species
GAAUUCACUAGUGAUUCAGGCCUAACACAUGCAAGUCGAGCGGUAGAGAGAAGCUUGCUUCUCUUGAAAAAAAAGGACGGGUGAGUAAUGCCUAGGAAUCUGCCUGGUAGUGGGGGAUAACGUUCGGAAACGGACGCUAAUACCGCAUACGUCCUACGGGAGAAAGCAGGGGACCUUCGGGCCUUGCGCUAUCAGAUGAGCCUAGGUCGGAUUAGCUAGUUGGUGAGGUAAUGGCUCACCAAGGCUACGAUCCGUAACUGGUCUGAGAGGAUGAUCAGUCACACUGGAACUGAGACACGGUCCAGACUCCUACGGGAGGCAGCAGUGGGGAAUAUUGGACAAUGGGCGAAAGCCUGAUCCUAAGAGAGGCGCGUGUGUGAAGAAGGUCUUCGG